UUUCAUUUAUGAAAGGGCCACAAAAUUUGAAUACAUCUUCUUUAUUGCAUGAUAAUCUGGUUAGUGCAGCUUUGAGUGGUCAAAAUGGUGAAAGAUUGCUCUCUAGUUCUAAAUCUGGAGCACUAAUUGAAGAACAGACAAUCUUGUCAGGUGCAAGAGAUCCUCCUCACACUAGUUAUGCAGAUGCCAGAUUUAUUGGUAAAUCAACU
rnacentral:misc_RNA from 1 species